CGUAGGGUGGCGAGCGUUAAUCGGAAUUACUGGGCGUAAAGCAUGCGCAGGCGGUUUGUUAAGAUAGGCGUGAAAUCCCCGGGCUCAACCUGGGAACUGCGCUUAUGACUGGCAAGCUAGAGUACGGCAGAGGGGGGUGGAAUUCCACGUGUAGCAGUGAAAUGCGUAGAGAUGUGGAGGAACACCAAUGGCGAAGGCAGCCCCCUGGGUCGAUACUGACGCUCAUGCACGAAAGCGUGGGUAGCAAACAGGAUUAGAUACCCUGGUAGUCCACGCCCUAAACGAUGUCAACUAGGUGUUGGGAGGGUAAAACCUUUUAGUACCGGAGCUAACGCGUGAAGUUGACCGCCUGGGGAGUACGGCCGCAAGGUUA
rnacentral:rRNA from 1 species